GGACGAACGCUGGCGGUGUGCUUCACACAUGCAAGUCGAACGAGGUAGCAAUACCUAGUGGCGGACGGGUGAGUAACGCGUGGGAAUCUGCCUUUAGAUGGGGGAUAACGGGUCGAAAGACUCGCUAAUACCGCAUAUGACGAAAGUUGAAAGGAGUAAUCCGUCUAAAGAUGAGCCCGCGUCCGAUUAGCUAGUUGGUAGAGUAAAAGCCUACCAAGGCGACGAUCGGUAGCUGGUCUGAGAGGAUGAUCAGCCACAAUGGGACUGAGACACGGCCCAUACUCCUACGGGAGGCAGCAGUGGGGAAUUUUACGCAAUGGGCGAAAGCCUGACGUAGCGACACCGCGUGAGCGAAGAAGCCCCUUGGGGUGUAAAGCUCUGUCAGCUGGAACGAAAAAAUGACGGUACCAGCAGAGGAAGCAUCGGCUAACUACGUG
rnacentral:rRNA from 1 species